rnacentral:ncRNA from 1 species
UAAGACCCCUUGAAGACGACAAGGUAGAUAGGGCAGAGGUGGAAGCACGGUAACGUGUGGAGCUGACUGUUACUAAUAGGUCGAGGGCUUGACCAA